GAGAAAGGCCUAAAAGCCACAGAUGCACAAGGCUCUUGCCUCUACACACCUUCCUGCUAGCCGAAGGAUGGAUCUGGGCCUGAGAGAAGACACAAGCUGACUGAGAUUAUUCAAAACCUAAACCAUUUAGAGCCGUCAUGGAGCAACAGUGGGUGCCCAGACACUUGGAAGACAGCAUCGCAUGAAGGCGAGCCAGGGCCACAGACAGAGAGGAAAAGAAGACAGGCAUGCAGUGGAAGAAAACCAAAUCAACAUAGUCACAUAUGUGGAGCUGGAAAGGAUCCCUGAUGAUUGGCAGUGACGAUGGUGGAACGUAGAGGUGAAGUUAACACCUUCACGGCUACAGAUUUUCCUUAGCAGAGCUGUGGAGUGUGACAAUGGUGUUUGUGUCCAAGCUGUCAAACGCCAUUAUCACACUAAAUAGCUACUGCUAGGCAAUCCUUCCACUCAAUGUAAGUCGUGGCAACUGUUUGGUCUGGGCAAGAGGGCUCAUCCUAUACCAGCCCGUGUUCUCUAUCAUGUGUGAUUUAGAAUAAAGUCUGAUUCUCUUGUGGUCAUUAUUGUAUGCCUGCCUAAACCCUGCCUCUCACAUGCUGUUGUUAAAUAGAUGAUAAUUCUGACAGUAAUGAAAAAACACCUCAAAGUCAGUUUCUCCUAUUGUACAGUCACAACAAAAAUUACUUUUGGCACAGAUGUGCGAGGGUCUCUCCCCAACAAGCAAGCAGUCACUUCCACAGCAGACUCCAUCCGGGAGUCCUCUAAUCUAGUUCUGCUCUGACACUCUACCUGGAGACACUGUUACACCCCACAGGGUGAAGUCUCAGUCCUCAAGACAGCACCCCAUUCAGAUGCCAGGCACAAGCCACAGAUUGUUUUCCCUGUGCUUCUGACUUACAGUCUGUAAAUCAGGGUUCCCACGUUGUCUCCUUGAGCUCAACUCAAGGAGCUGCUUGAGCAGCUCACAGAACUUAGGGAAAGAUAUAUGUACCUUUAACAGCUUAUUAUAAAGCAGAUGAUAAAGGCUACAAAUGAAGAGAUGCACAGAGGAGUUUAGGGGGAAUGUAGAGCUCUGAGAAUCCUUCUAAGAGUGUGAUCCCCCGGGACCCUCCGUGGGUUCAGUUACUUGGAAGCUCUCUGAACUCUGUCCUUUUGGGGUUUUAAGGAGACUUCAUUGCAUACACAUGACUGAAACUUGUAAAGCCAUGUUGAAAUGUGAUUGGAUGAAAAAGGACGAUCUAAAGAAAUGACUAGGUGAGAAAACUCAGUAAGGCCUGUCUGUCCAGAUUCUUAGCCUCUCUGUGCAGCAUUCCAUUCUUGUGGGCCUGAAGCAGCACCCCGUCCCUGUGAAGAGGUUCAAAUGACAACUAUCACAUGAGGAAGGUUGGAGUUUCAAGCCAGGAACUGCGGUUCAAAGUAGAUAACCAAACUAGAUGUAAAUCAUAAUAUCACAGUGACAAUGAAUUUUCUUAUUUUCAUCGCUUCUCGCCCUUUUGGCUAAGAUCAAGUGUAAAACUUCUUAUUUUCCUCAAGUCAAUAGAAAGAUUGGGGCACCCAACACAAGGUUAGGCACCUGACAAUCAUUCAACUCAUGCAUAUUGCAUUGAAAUGAACGGUUAGGAAAACAGGAAACUAAAACUGGGUUAAAUCUAGUUUAUGCAAACAACAGCCUCAUAGGUGAUAAGUUAAGGUAUGUGGGUCUUCCUCUUUAAAAAAAAAGAUUCAAUUAAAAAAACAACAAUAAACUUGUCCAUAACUUAACUGGCCUUUUGGAAAUAACAGAACAUGUUUGAUUUCUACUUAUUUUAACCAAUUACCAAGCAGAUUACUCAAUUUGUAUGCUAAUUUCUUCUUACUUAUGUUUCACUGAAUUGCCAUUAGAAAAAUUAUAUAUAAACUAUGUAUAAGCUGCCAGAGCAAAUCUGAACAUUUUAAAGCCAUGCAGUUUCUGGGACAGUUGGCCCGGCUGGGUGGUCUGGUUUGGAACACAGUCUCUCUCUGAGGGCAUCUAAAGUAACAAGUAGAUUCUGUGUGUGGGCUAAAGCUUCUCUCCUGUGUCUUGGCUACAUAAUCUAGGAUAUGUUUAAUCAAAUUGACAGGAUUGGAUCAACUGUUAGAACCAAAUUCAUCCAAUCAAUCAACAAUCAUUUAUCAAAUAAAUAUGAGCACACGGACUCCCAUGUAGCUGGCACUGUCCUAGGCCCUGGAAAAAUUUUUAAAUUGAAUGUGUGUCUGGCAUUGUUUCCAGAGAUAGACAUUCACUGGCUCACAUUCUGUUAUGAUGGGAUAAUUCUAAUGGUCCCAAUUACAUUUAGUACAGAAUCCAAGGAACAAAACUUUGCAAACUAAUUCCAAGUCCCUUGCUGGAAAGCACCACUGAGUGCAGCCCACACAGCUAGAAUCUACUGAAAAAGUUUCAAGGUCAGGAGAAGUUAUUGUCCAGAGAAGAAAGGGAAGUGCAUUUCUGCCUGCCCUCAUUUCCACCUCCCAUUUCUUCCCUUCUGGCAUCCUCAACCAUCAAGAGGAGAUCUAGACACCCCCCGCAAAUAAUUCAUACACUGACAUUCUUUCUAAUGGGUGUUUUUAGAGAAAGCACUAUUGACAAGCAUCGAUUGAGGGCUUUAUUGUUAUACAAAUCGCUUCCAUGAACACUGUUUCAUUUGACCCAUAUAACACAGGGCAAAGAUGGCAGGAUAUAGUCUCCCCUCCCGCAGAAGGAAAAUGAAGAUUCCAAAUGGUUUUGAACCAUCUGGGUAUGUAACCAUAACUCAACACAGUCCUCUUAAGUCUAAAGUUCUGUGCUUUAUUUAUAUCCUUCCUUGGGCAGGUUAUUUCAUGCUUCAUGGCUGAGUCUAUGUAGAAACUAGGUUAAUCAUACCCCUAUUUGAUCAAUAUCUUCAGCUUCCCAUCUGCUUUGUUGAUGGAUUCUGAUGGAAAACCCACAAAUAAAAGAGAGAUGAGUCAUAUAACAAUCUUCCCUUGUGAACACUCAUAAUGCAGAGAAAGCCUAAUAUUGCAAAACACUGCAAUGGAAAAAUAAAAGAGAAGCAACACCUGUGUGGCAGUUUGGGGGUGAACAAGGGGGUGGCCAAAUUGUGCAGACAUGGAACAGCUAUUCUAGGAAUCUGGCCAACUGAGGCAGCACUGGAUCAUUCACUGCUCAGACUGGAGGGUGGUGUGACCGCUUGGCCUACACACUCUUCUCUGCUGUACUCGCCCCAAGAGUUUGCUCAUAUGGAACUAAACUGGGAGCAAAUGGAAUAGCAUUCUAUAUUAUAGCCUUUUUUUUACCAGCUCUGCUCAUUGUAUAGCUUAUUAUGACUGCUGCAUGGAUUAAUUCUGCAUUCAAGAUUGGAUGUCUGUUCUUUCUGUAUAUCUCUCAGGAACACACAUAGAAGACAGAGCAUCCACAUUCCCACUUUAAAGGCACUUUUAAUACAAUCCUGCUGCUCCAAAUCUCCAACGACAGUUUCCUUUCCUGAACCAGCUUUCAUCUCCUUUUCAGCCCCAGGGAUAUGGCCAGUCAUUUCCAAUAAAGCAUUCCUGGGGACAGUUACUGACGCCAAUGUGAUUUACAUGCUGAAAGGGCCAACUAAGCCAUGCAGUUAGAAUCACACUGGAGACGGGGCAGUUGAACCUCCCUUUGCUUUGUGGAUCAUGCCAGUGAGGUCCUAUGCAUUCUUCCAUUUUGGUACAGUGUGUUGCAUGAAUGUGACAAUGACAACUUAAGGCCUGCCCUACUUUUUUUUUUUCCUCCUCCAGGAGAGGUUUUGUGAAGUCAUAGCACAGUUACCAUAUGUCAAUCGCUC